rnacentral:rRNA from 1 species
GACAGAGGGUGCAAACGUUGUUCGGAAUUACUGGGCGUAAAGCGUGUGUAGGCGGUCUCAUAAGUCGGAUGUGAAAGCCCUUGGCUCAACUGAGGAAGUGCAUCCGAAACUGGCAGGCUAGAGUACGAAAGAGGAUCGCGGAAUUCCCGGUGUAGAGGUGAAAUUCGUAGAUAUCGGGAGGAACACCGGUGGCGAAGGCGGCGAUCUGGGUCGAUACUGACGCUGAGGUGCGAAAGCGUGGGGAGCAAACAGG